rnacentral:rRNA from 1 species
GACGAACGCUGGCGGCGUGCUUAACACAUGCAAGUCGAACGAAGAGCGAUGGAAGCUUGCUUCUAUCAAUCUUAGUGGCGCACGGGUGAGUAACGCGUAAUCAACCUGCCCUUCAGAGGGGGACAACAGUUGGAAACGACUGCUAAUACCGCAUACGAUCCAAUCUCGGCAUCGGGACUGGAUGAAAGGUGGCCUCUAUUUAUAAGCUAUCACUGAAGGAGGGGAUUGCGUCUGAUUAGCUAGUUGGAGGGGUAACGGCCCACCAAGGCGAUGAUCAGUAGCCGGUCUGAGAGGAUGAACGGCCACAUUGGGACUGAGACACGGCCCAGACUCCUACGGGAGGCAGCAGUGGGGAAUCUUCCGCAAUGGACGAAAGUCUGACGGAGCAACGCCGCGUGAGUGAUGACGGCCGUCGGGUUGUAAAGCUCUGUUAAUCGGGACGAAUGGUUCUUGUGCGAAUAGUGCGAGGAUUUGACGGUACCGGAAUAGAAAGCCACGGCUAACUACGUG